ACGUAGGGGACGAGCGUUGUCCGGAUUUACUGGGCGUAAAGGGCGCGUAGGUGGUCAUUUAAGUCAGCUGUGAAAUGGUUUGGCUUAACCGGAUCAUGCGGUUGAAACUGGAUGACUGGAGUGCUGGAGAGGCAAGUGGAAUUCCCAGUGGAGCGGUGGGAUGCGUAGAGAUGGGGAAGAACACAGGAGGCGAAGGCGACUUGCUGGACAACAACUGCCGCUGAGGCGCGUAAAUCACUGGAUCAAAAGG
rnacentral:rRNA from 1 species